GUGGGUAUAGAAGCAAUGAGGUAGGGUACUGGCAACAGUGCUCUGCUGAAAUAUUUUCACCCAUGUCUUUUGCGCACUUUUUGUUUCCUGGGCGAGUUUGCUCGCCACCAGGACCCCCAUAUGAACCUUUUUUGUUUUUGCACUCAGCGUCAGUACAAUAAUUUAAUCUAUUAAAACUUUCAACAACGGAUCUCUUGGUUCUGGCAUCGAUGAAGAACGCAGCGAAAUGCGAUACGUAGUGUGAAUUGCAGAAUUCAGUGAAUCAUCGAAUCUUUGAACGCACAUUGCGCCCUUUGGUAUUCCAAAGGGCAUGCCUGUUCGAGCGUCAUUUGUACCCUCAAGCUUUGCUUGGUGUUGGGCGUCUUAUUGUCUCUCCGUCUCGGGGAGACUCGCCUUAAAACAAUUGGCAGCCGGCCUACUGGUUUCGGAGCGCAGCACAAAUUUGCGCUUGCAAUCAGCCAAGGGCGGCAUCCAUGAAGCCUUUUUUCUCUCACAUUUUGACCUCGGAUCAGGUAGGGAUACCCGCUGAACUUAAGCAUAUCAA
rnacentral:rRNA from 1 species